AUUGAACGCUGGCGGAAUGCUUUACACAUGCAAGUCGAACGGCAGCACGGACUUCGGUCUGGUGGCGAGUGGCGAACGGGUGAGUAAUGUAUCGGAACGUGCCCAGUCGUGGGGGAUAACGUAGUGAAAAUUACGUUAAUACCGCAUACGAUCUAUGGAUGAAAGCGGGGGAUCGCAAGACCUUGCGCGAUUGGAGCGGCCGAUAUCAGAUUAGGUAGUUGGUGGGGUAAAGGCCCACCAAGCCAACGAUCUGAAGCUGGUGUGAGAGGACGACCAGCCACACUGGAACUGAGACACGGUCCAGACUCCUACGGGAGGCAGCAGUGGGGAAUUUUGGACAAUGGGCGAAAGCCUGAUCCAGCCAUUCCGCGUGCAGGAUGAAGGCCCUCGGGUUGUAAACUGCUUUUGUACAGAACGAAAAGGUCUCUACUAAUACUAGGAGCUCAUGACGGUACUGUAAGAAUAAGCACCGGCUAACUACGUGCCAGCAGCCGCCGCGG
rnacentral:rRNA from 1 species